CAACUCCCACUUCACUUUGAUGAAACCUGAAGCUGCCAGCACCUUUUCCUUCUGCUCUUCCCUCAGGACCCCAAGGACCCAAAUCAGUAGCCCCAGGAAAUCAGCUCUAUUUUCUGAAUGAAGAUUCUUGGUGGCCUACACCUACUGUUUGCUGUAUCUUCUAAUGUUUGCCAGUGGCGGGUUGUGGUACUAGGACUUCAGAGUUGAAAAUUCAUUACAUUGACCAUAAGAAUUCUGAAGGACGUCCAUUGAACUUGUCCUGCACCAUUUUUUCUACACUUCUGCAUGGGGUCCUAGCAGUAUCAUCCCUCAAAGAUGACUUCUCAUUAUUUCAUUGACUUGGGCAUUCCAGGAUCACUCAAUAAGAACAAACCCAGUGAGUGCUGACUAAACAAAUGAACAGAUGAAUGAAAAAACUCCAUUAAGAAGAGACUGAAUGAAUGGG